ensembl:lncRNA SNHG31 small nucleolar RNA host gene 31
GGGCGGGGCCUGAAGCCCCUCUGGGCUGCCUGGACGGAUGAAGUCCAGGUGGAAAGCCAGUCGACGUUUCCCGGGAGCUACGACUCCAGGGACCCUCAUCCGAGCUUAACCGUUGGAACAAUCACAAACCCAGAAACUUUUAGCUGAGUGUUAUUUAUAAAAAGCGCUGUUUUGACUGCUGUUGGACUUGGAAAAGCUUUGCCCACGAUACUGAAGCGUAAUUAGCUGCCUACUUUUCAAAAUUAUGUGAUGACUUCAUGGGAAAAGAGAUUCACAAGAACCAGUAACAGGAAAGCUUAAAUAAGCUUGGAAAUCUUUAAACUUUCAAUAUCGGAAAAUGCCAAAGCAAUUGGGGAAAAAAAUACUGUUUUCUCUGAAAUGAAGACUCCUCAAGAUCCUGUUGCUGGAAUGAGUAUUGGACUCUUCGGUCUACUUCUACAGUCACCAGUACAUCUGGCAUACACUAUGAUGCCCAACAGUAGGAAGAUGAAAGAAAUGUAGAUGUUGGCAUUUCUAAAAGAGAUGUUGUAUCUUUUUUCCUACUUAAUAGACUAUUAGGCUAUAAAUCUCAAUCUUGGCCAGCAAAUGUGUUUGCCAGCUUUUCUUUAUUCUUUUUAAUUUUUUUGAGGAUCAGCAUGGAAAAACAAUUUGCGCAAGGCUCAAGAAGAUGAGAUGGUCUUAUAAACAGUAAUUGAAAUAUGUAUAUUUUUUAAAAGUCUGUUUCAAAUUUCAAACCUUAUUUUAAAAACUAUGUGAAAGCCUCUUGUGAAACUCAACUGAAGUAGGCAUGGCUGAGUCCAGAGGAGCAGUGUGGAGGAUUAGAAAAAUAAACAGGCAGGAGUCAGACAGUCCUGGAUUCAAAUCCCACUUCUAGGCCUUAGAGAAAUAAUAUAAUAGUAGGGGAUAAUAAUAUUCACCCUGAAGAGUGCUGUAGGGAUCAUCAAUAUUUCAUAUAAAGCAUGUCAUAUGGGCAGUGCUCAAUGAAUGGCAAUGCUUUUGCCCAGGUAUAGAACUUCUUAGUAUAAAAGUUUUGUCUUUCAGAAAAUUAACAAAGAUAUUCAGGACCGGAAUUCAGCUCUGGAUCAAGUAGACCUGAUAGAUAUCUACAGAACUUUCUAUCCCAAAACAACAGAAUGUACAUUUUUCUCAUUGCCACAUGUCACUUACUCUAAAAUCGAUCACAUAAUCGGAAGUAAAACACUCCUCAGUAAAUGCAAAAGAACUGAAAUCAUAACAAACAGUCUCUCAGACCACAGUGCAAUUAAAUUAGAAUUCAAGAUUAGGAAAUUCAGUCAAAACCACACAACUACAUGGAAAUUGAACAACCUUUUCCAGAAUGACUCUUGGGUAAAUAAUGAAAUUAAGGCAGAAAUCAAGAAGUUCUUUGAAACUAAUGAGAAAAAGAGAGAAUGUACCAGAAUCUCUGGGACGCAGCUAAAGUAGUGUUAAGAGGGAAAUUUAUAGCACUAAAUGCCCACAUCAAACAGCUGGACAGAGCUCAAGUUGAUAACCUAACAUCUUAACUAAAAGAACUUAGAGAACCAAGAGCAAAUAAACCCCAAAGCUAGCAGAAGAUAAGAAAUAACCAAGAUCAGAGCUGAACUGAAGGAGAUAGAGACACAAAAAAUCCUUAAAAAAAUCAACGAAUCCAGGAGCUGUUUUUUGAAAAAAUUAAUAAAAUAGACAACUAGCUAGACUAACAAAUAAGAAAAGAGAGAAGAGUCAAAUAAACACAAUGAAAAAUGAUAAGGGGGAUAGUACCGCUGACCCCAUAGAAAUACAAACAACCAUCAGAGAAUACUAUGAACACCUCUAUGCAAAUAAACUAGAAAAUGUAGAAAAAAUGGAUAAAUUUCUGGACACAUAUACCCUCCCAAGACUGAGCCAGGAAGAAAUUGAAUCCCUGAAUAGACCAAUAACAAGUUCUGAAAUUGAGGCAGUAAUAAAAAACUUACCAACCAAAAAGAGCCCAGGACCAGAUGGAUUCACAGCUGAAUUCUACCAGAGUAUAAAGAAGAGCUGGUACAAUGUCUGCUAAAAUUAUUCCAAAUAAUUGAAAAGGAGAGACUCCUCCCUAACUAAUUCUAUG